UAGUCCUCUGAAAUCCGUGAGGGACGCAGAGGCUACAACCGGAACUACAAUGCCCAGGAUGCCUCGGUCGGAGCGCCCAGACUGAGAGAGACCGGACCGGCCGCCAUGUUGAAGCUCGGGAGCUGCUGCGGGCCGAGGCUUCGGGAGCUCGUGGAGCUGAGAAGCGGCGUGGUGAGACUGGUGAGGCAGAGGACGUGGGGGUUGAUAGUUUCGAGCACUGGCUGAGACUGGACGAAGACUCCGCUGGGGAUGGGCAGGGCCGUCGGACCGGAGAUGGCCUCGCGGGUCGGCGUGAGCCUCCACCAGCCGGGCUUGCACAGGGCCUCACGCCUUUCCCUCGGCUUUUUUACCGAAGGACCCAGGGAGCCGCUUCACUUCCGGGCGUGGAGGACCCCUUAAACCUCGUAGCGGGACAAUCUGUGCAGAAGGGGUCUUUGUUGUGCUACGGGACGGCGGGCCUCGCGCCUGCCCUCUUGCAUCCGACGAGUGGAGCAAAGCCUGGGUUGGAUUUUUUUUUUUUUUGUCGUCUUGCCAUUUUUUUCCUCCACAUUUCCCCCAUGCCCUCUUCCUCAGAUGUGACACCCCCCCACACACACACACACUGAGUCGUAAUCCUGUAACGAUUUUCAAAGGGCAUUAGAGAAGUCGUUGGUAGAUAACUGAACGCCAAGGAUCGUAUCUUUGGUCCUAAUGAGAAGAAAGACGAGGAGCUGCCAAAGGAAGUUAGCGUUUAAUCUUUCUUAACCUACCCGCUAAAGCGAAAGACAUUAAAAGGGACUGCAAGUGAGCAAUCUUAUCAGGACUAAUGCUGAGUGAACUAUGCUAAAAUACGUAGGCUAUUCGGUGUUGGUAACCAUGGAUUCCUAUCUUGCCUUUUCUUUUUUUGUUAGCUUAUAUUAACAAAAUUAUGCAAAAUAAUGUAUUUCGUUGUGACAUACUCAUGCAGAUAACGUUAGUUAACGCAUUAACCAUUCCCUUUCCUUACCCACUUGACCCCACCGUGCGUUCAGUGCCUUCUCUGGAGUAUUCCAAACAUAAGAUUACUUCAAGAACUUUAUGAGGCCCUUGGCUCAGCAUCCCAAAUUGUCUGUUUUCCCAAUUGCAUAACUAAAGCAGUAUUGUGUGCUUGUUUUUCAGAUUCUGAAGUCGACUGUGGAAGGAUGGCAAAUUUUACUUCGUAUAGAGAGUCUCUAAAAAGUUAAAAAUGCAUAAUUUGUGUUGCUUAUUCUCUCUGUUACAUUUACUUUGAAAACCGAGUUUUGUGCAGGAGCUGUAACUCAGUGGUGAGAACCCAGCUAGCAUACUCAAGGCCCUGGAUUGGAUCCCCAGCCCAGGUUUGUUUACAUCAGUGAAAGUACACACUAUGCCUCUGUUAGAAGUUAAUAAAAUUCAACUGGUCAAUAGAUCUUCCUUUCAAAAGACCAAGCUGACUGUUUUUUAAACUGACAAAACACAAUAGGAGUCAAAGGCAUCUGCAGCUGGUGGCCCUUGGAAACAGUUUGCAAAGAUCCAGCUUAUGUUCUGUUGUGAGAAGAAGCCAGGGGAGUGGCAAAAGCCAUUCUUCCAUAAAUUCAACAAGGUAAAAACCUCAAAUACUGCUGUUCUACCCAUAAUGGUGGUAAGUACUAGAAAAGAAACAGUCUUUACCCUUCUUUUUGCCCCUAGAUUCAACUGUAGGGUUUAGGCAAAUGAAUCUUUGUUUUAAAAGACAUUUAUAUGAGCAAUAUAAUCUUAGUUUGGGUUACUGUCGAAGACUGAUUUAUUGAAAGAAAAAUAACAGACUGUUUGGAAAUACUGUGAAAUGGAACCAAUAUAAUGUAGUGGCUUCUAUAAUUUGUCGUGUGAUUGAGUGCUUUGAAGUGUUUUAGCCUUAUAGAUAAUGGAUAUUUAACCAUAAAUGUGUGGGGGAAAAAAAUAACAGUGUAUUUUAGAAAAACUCUACAAGUUAAGUCUUAACGGUCACAGGGAAAAAAGAUUCUAUAUUCUUUAGAAACUUAAGGAAAACAUUUUACCAGAAGGGUACAUCUUUCAGACCUCCUCUUUGAUUAAGGUAAACAUUUGCCACAGUAUACAUUUCCAUAAGUGGACACAGAUGGGCACACCAUUUGGAUUUAGUUAUCGUGGGUUUGGGUUUUUUUGUUUGCUUGUUUGGAAAAAUCUUUUAGUUCAUUUCAUAUAAUAAGAAAACAAACUUUUCAUGAUUUAGACAUUCUUCCUUUGCAUUGACAACCGUUAGGAAACAAGUCUCAGGUUAGUAGUACCAUAGCUAUUGUGUUUAUAAUAGUUUGGCAUAGGUUUUGCUACUGGGUUUACAUAUGGCUUAAGGUAAAUGCAACACAUGUCUCAGGGUCAAAAUUUAAAGUCUAGCUGGGCAGUGAUGGCACACGCCUCUGAUCCCAACAUCAAAGAGGCAGAGACAGGUGGUGAGAUCAAGGCCAACCUGGUCUACUGAGCCCAGGACGGCCAGGGCUACACAAGGCUACCUUGUCUCUAAAAACCAAGAAAAAGUAUAAAUGACUUCAAGUUAAUUUUAAUUAAUGACUGCCUAUCUUAUCUUAUUUCUCAGAUUUUUAACAGGUUUGGACAAUUGAAGGGGCACUAUAGAACAUGUGUUUACAAGAAUAUAUGCUGAAAAACUGUGUUCAUGAACAUAGUCAUUUCAGGAAAUUUAGGUAUGCAGAGAUGUUCAACUGUAAUCAGUUAUGUAAGUAGGUUGUAUUCAGGUUUUAAUAGAAGUCACUAAAAGUAAAGAAGUAACUUAUAACAAGUUUGGAGUGUAAGCCUGAUAACUAUUUUUAUUACUGUAUCCAAGGCCAGUUAAGCCAAAUGUAAGUUGUACCUUGCACACCCAAGGCUGGGGUAGUAAGAGAGACAUGAGCCUGAGCUAUAUAGUCCUUAUCUGAAAUAAAUUAUAGGAUCUCAUCACUGAAAGUUUAUGCCUUAUCCCAUAUAAUUCAAAAUGCUCAUAAAAUUAAUUAAGGGGCUGGAGAGAUGACUUAGUAAAGAACAAUGGCUGCUCUUCCAGAGAACCCAGAUUCAGUUCCUGCACCCACAUGGGGGCUCACUGUGGCUGUAUGUCUUAACUCUAGGGCAUCUGAUUCACUUUUGGACAUAAUGUACAGAUACAUAUGCACAUAGAAAAUGCAUGCAUGUAUUUAAGAAAGCUUUCAUGGUGAAAUCUUGAUGUUAGAAAAAUUUGUUUCUUACAGAUCCAGUACAAGUGUCUGGAAAAUGUGAGCUUGGCUGUAUCUAGUGUACCUGGUACAUGCAAACGAAGAGUUUAGUAACACAAGUGAAUAGAAGAGCAAUAUCAGAAUGUUAAAUCCAAGGAGCAUCAUGGAAACAUACAUAGGAUUGAUUAGUCUGCUCAGUAAGUAAGCACUGGAGUCAUUCCUAAUGUGAGAAUAUCUUAGCAGUCUAAGGUUACAUUCUCAACAGAAAUGAAAUACUGACAUCAUACAUAUUUAGGUAUCAUGUUCAGUUCUUGUUAUAGGAAUUAACCAUAGUUUUGAAGUUUAAGCUCAAAUCCAGGCCAUCCAAGUGACUGGGCAGGUAAACCUAACUUGAGUUUGAACCCUAAAACCCAAGGGGAAGCUCCUGAAAGCUCUCCUUUGAUCUUGUGUCUGCCAGCCUGAACUUCCGCAAAUACACAUUAUAUGCUUAACAAUUUUUUAGAAGUCUACAGAGUUCCAGAACAGGCUCCAAAGCUACACAGAGAAACUCUGUCUCGAAAAACGAAACAAAAAAAGAACAAGUCGGCCUGGCUAUAUAGGAGGUGAGACAACAGCUGGUUGGUUCAACCUAAGGUCCACUGCAUAGGAACUUGUACUCAAGAGGAGCAAAAUGAAAGUUAUAUUCAUGAGUGUUUCAACUCUGCAUAUAUCCCAAAGAGGUGCAGCAACCAUUGACUACAGACCUGGUGACAAGAGUUCUAUUUAAAGCACACCACCUGUGCAUGAUUUCAUAAAUGUAUCAGGCCUUGGGAAAUUUGAGUUCAGAGCUGGUUGUAGAUCCCAAGAUCGUGUCUCAGCAAAGCUUGCUGGCUGAGAUUAAAGUGUAAUCAUCCUUCAACUCCAAGAAAAGUAGUUCCAAGAUUUUGGAAGUUUGUAGUUAAUGCCUCACAAUUCAACAGUUCUUAAUUCCUCCAUACAUAUGUUUUCACAUGCUUGUCCAGAAGGAAAUGCAGUUUAAGCAGAAACAUUCUUAAGACAAAGAAAAUAAUAAUAAAGGCAAAGAAUGAUUCCCCA